GANAGAACAACGGGUUUGCCCUCAGAUAACGGCGAGUGAAGCGGCAAAAGCUCAUCUUUUAAAAGCUUCGNCNUUGUAACGGUGGCGGAGGGGGUGGAUCGCAAAAGUCCAUUGGAACAUGGCGCCAUCGAGGGUGACAGCCCCGUCAAGAUACGCCCCCACCCCUCCACCAAUAGAGUCGAGUUGUUUGGGAAUGCAACUCUAACAAGGUGGUAAACUCCAUCUAAGGCUAAAUAUCGACGAGAGACCGAUAGCGAACAAGUACAGUGAUGGAAAGAUGAAAAGCACUUUGAAAAGAGAGUGAAACAGUACGUGAAAUUGUUGAAAAGGGAAA
rnacentral:rRNA from 1 species